rnacentral:lncRNA from 1 species
CACUGAUGUGAAGCCCAUCUGGGAUCUCUAGACACAAGGCCACCGGCAUGAGCAUGGCAGCCCAGGGAGAAUACAGGUGGUGUACCUCUAUGCCAAACGGAUCAGAAUGCUUCAUACACGUAGCACAGAUUAAAGGCUCCAAUGACACCUUGAGUCAGGAUUUUAGGAAAUGAACAGAGAUUUGAAGAAACCAGGAAGUUAACUGAUGUGUUCAAGAUCUCACAGUUAGCAAGAAGUGGAACCUGAACAAUUGUCCAGACACAUCUGACUCCAAAGUCCAUAUUCUUCACCCACUAUAUGAU